UACGUAGGGGGCAAGCGUUGUCCGGAAUCAUUGGGCGUAAAGCGCGUGUAGGCGGCCAGAAAAGUCCGCUGUGAAAACUCGAGGCUCAACUUCGAGCUGUCGGUGGAAACUUUCUGGCUAGAGUCCGGAAGAGGAGAAUGGAAUUCCUGGUGUAGCGGUGAAAUGCGCAGAUAUCAGGAAGAACACCCGUGGCGAAGGCGGUUCUCUGGGACGGUACUUACGCUGAGACGCGAAAGCGUGGGGAGCGAACAGG
rnacentral:rRNA from 1 species